CUUCAGACUAACAGUCCCAAGUUGGACUC
rnacentral:sRNA from 1 species